UACGUAGGGGGCAAGCGUUGUCCGGAUUUAUUGGGCGUAAAGAGCGUGUAGGCGGCUUUACAGGUCCGUUGUGAAAACUCGAGGCUCAACCUCGAGACGCCGGUGGAAACCGUAAGGCUAGAGUCCGGAAGAGGAGAGUGGAAUUCCUGGUGUAGCGGUGAAAUGCGCAGAUAUCAGGAAGAACACCAGUGGCGAAGGCGGGUCUCUGGACAGUUCCUGACGCUGAGGCGCGAAGGCCAGGGGAGCAAACGGG
rnacentral:rRNA from 1 species